CCCAGAAGUCUUGUUCAGCCAGGUGCAAGCACUCUCGUUUGGGAGAACAGUGUUCCUUGAGAAAGAGGAGUCAAAUCCAAAAAGGACAUUAGUUGAGACUCUGAAGACCAUCCCUAUUUUGGGAAAGCUCAAGAUGGGUGGCAGCAGGACCCUGGUUCCCAUUAAGGAGGCCUGAGUUUCCAGCUGCUCUGCUCCCAUUGCAGCAAGGCAAUGGACAUUUGAAUAAGGGAAUCAAGAACCCUGCACAGCACUCCUGUUCUGGGGCCCAGGACAUUGACUACAAAGUGAAAACAUUCACAUUUUAUUUUGUGAUCUCUGGAUAUCAUACGUGUUGCUGGAAGAGGAGAAUACCUGGGGACAGAAACAGGGCAUGCGUCCAGUCUGCCAUCCAUUUGCAAGGAUGCUUUUGUUUUGUCUUUCAAAA
rnacentral:lncRNA from 10 species